UACGGGGGGGGCAAGCGUUGUUCGGAAUUACUGGGCGUAAAGGGCUCGUAGGCGGCCAACUAAGUCAGACGUGAAAUCCCUCGGCUUAACCGGGGAACUGCAUCUGAUACUGGAUGGCUUGAGUUCGGGAGAGGGGUGCGGAAUUCCAGGUGUAGCGGUGAAAUGCGUAGAUAUCUGGAGGAACACCGGUGGCGAAGGCGGCAUCCUGGACCGGCACUGACGCUGAGGAGCGAAAGCCAGGGGAGCAAACGGG
rnacentral:rRNA from 1 species